GGUGAACGCUGGCGGCGUGCCUAACACAUGCAAGUCGAGCGGUGCAGUUUGAAGCUUCGGUGGAAAGCUGCAUAGCGGCGGACGGGUGAGGAAAACGUAGGAACGUGCCCCUUGGAGUUGGAUAGCCACGGGAAACUGUGGGUAAACCGACAUAGACUCGAGAGAGUAAGGCCGAAAGGCGCCAAGGGAGCGGCCUGCGGCCCAUCAGGUAGUUGGUAGUGUAAAGGACUACCAAGCCGACGACGGGUAGCCGGUCUGAGAGGAUGGCCGGCCACAAGGGCACUGAGAGACGGGCCCUACUCCUACGGGAGGCAGCAGUGGGGGAUUUUGGACAAUGGGCGAAAGCCUGAUCCAGCGACGCCGCGUGGAGGACGAAGCCCUUCGGGGUGUAAACUCCUUUUCUCAGGGAAAAAGGAUGAUGGUACCUGAGGAAUAAGCCCCGGCUAACUACGUG
rnacentral:rRNA from 1 species